rnacentral:rRNA from 1 species
UACGUAGGGGGCAAGCGUUGUCCGGAGUUACUGGGCGUAAAGCGCACGCAGGCGGUCUCUUAAGUUUGGAGUGACAGUUGGUGGCUUAACUGCCAAAGUGCUUCGAAAACUGAGAGACUUGAGGGCUUCAGAGGGACACGGAAUUCCGGGUGGAGUGGUGAAAUGCGUAGAGAUCCGGAGGAACACCAAAGGCGAAGGCAGUGUCCUGGGGAGUACCUGACGCUCAGGUGCGAAAGCCAGGGGAUCGAACGGG